UCGGAGAUUUCCCUUCGGGGACAGUGGUGACAGGUGGUGCAUGGUUGUCGUCAGCUCGUGUCGUGAGAUGUUGGGUUAAGUCCCGCAACGAGCGCAACCCUUGCCUUUAGUUGCCAGCAUUAAGUUGGGCACUCAAGAGGGACUGCCGAGGAUAACUCGGAGGAAGGUGGGGAUGACGUCAAAUCAUCAUGCCCCUUAUGCUUAGGGCUACACACGUGCUACAAUGGGUGGUACAGAGGGUUGCCAAGCCGCGAGGUGGAGCUAAUCCUUUAAAGCCAUUCUCAGUUCGGAUUGUAGGCUGAAACUCGCCUACAUGAAGCUGGAGUUACUAGUAAUCGCAGAUCAGAAUGCUGCGGUGAAUGCGUUCCCGGGC
rnacentral:rRNA from 1 species